GUCUAUGGCCAUACAACCCUGAACGUGCCUGAUCUCAUCUAAUCUCGGAAGCCAAGCAGGGUUGGGCCCGGUUAGUACUUGGAUGGGAGAGAUGAGGGAUAAAUGCUACUCCUUGAGCUUCCUCAGGUGGUCAAUU
rnacentral:rRNA from 1 species